GACGAACGCUGGCGGCGUGCUUAACACAUGCAAGUCGAACGGAAAGGCCCUGCUUUUGUGGGGUGCUCGAGUGGCGAACGGGUGAGUAACACGUGAGUAACCUGCCCUUGACUUUGGGAUAACUUCAGGAAACUGGGGCUAAUACCGGAUAGGAGCUCCUGCUGCAUGGUGGGGGUUGGAAAGUUUCGGCGGUUGGGGAUGGACUCGCGGCUUAUCAGCUUGUUGGUGGGGUAGUGGCUUACCAAGGCUUUGACGGGUAGCCGGCCUGAGAGGGUGACCGGCCACAGUGGGACUGAGAUACGGCCGAGACUACUACGGGAGGCAGCAGUGGGGAAUAUUGCACAAUGGGCGGAAGCCUGAUGCAGCAACGCCGCGUGCGGGAUGACGGCCGUCGGGUUGUAAACCGCUUGCGCCUGUGACGAAGCGUGAGGGACGGUAAUGGGUAAAGAAGCACCGGCUAACUACGUG
rnacentral:rRNA from 1 species